GGAAGCCAUACCUCAUGUUGUUGCUUAACCAUGCCAGCCACUAAGGAUGGAGGAGGGCUGCACUGUGCUAAACGCUGAGGGUUGUACUAAGUGGAGAAUCCAAAUUGGACUGGGUGUCCUGUUCUUUCCCAUGGCCCUUAGGAUAACUUUGGAAAUAGUUCUGGCCAGCAGCACCCAUGGGCAGAAUGUCUGUCAGUUUCACGCCUGGCAUGAUAUGCUCGGGGGUUUUGUGCCUAACCACUGGCCAUGGAUACAAGGGGAGUUCAUUAGUGCCAAGUCAGAGCUGCUUGCCCAAGCUGCGGUUCACCCAUGUGUGUAAGUUCUCUUUUGGAGCUGGGCACAAAUAGAAGAUGAGAAUGUAUGCUUCUGACAUCCACAAACAGAGCCCUGCUUGCUGAUGGGCAGCCAGAAGUGCGCUGUUCUGUACAGGAAAACCCAGAUGUCAAUAUAUCAACUAGACAGAAGAAAAUUACGUGGGUACGUUCCUAUAACACAGUGAAAGAGACAGAAAGACUGAAGCUGCUCAGGAUGACCAUCCAGCUGAGGCUGCAGAUUGCCUUGUGGAUUCAGAGGACUCUGUCCCUCAGUCAGUUCUCUGGCCGAAAUGGAGCUUCAUCCAGAAUCAAAGAUGGCAGAUUGACAUAGUUUUCUAUGAAAACUGAUAACAAAACACCACAGAAUUCCAGUACUUAAAGCACUGCAUAGAGUUGAGGGAAAGCUUGAGAGACGUGAUGUCUUUUAUGACUCAUAACCAAUAAUGUGACUACCUUCUUCUUGUGAAGCUGUCCUCGGGGCAGUUCCUCAGAAGGAGGGCAUGGUUUUACAUGAGAAGAUGUGGCCUCCAAAGGAAAAAUGUAUAGAAUUACAGAAAAUCAAUUGAAAAUACAAAAUAUAUUUUGUCUUCUGAGAAUAAAUAAAAGAAAAA
rnacentral:lncRNA from 1 species